rnacentral:tRNA from 6 species
GGAGAGUUGCCAGAGCGGUCGAAUGGGGCGGUCUCGAAAACCGUUGUCCGCGCAAGUGGACCAAGGGUUCGAAUCCCUUACUCUCCGCCA